ACCAUCCCCUGCCCUUCAAUGACUCGCUAAGGAUCCCAUUCCCAGCUGCCGUGUGUCGUGCUUGAUGUACUUCAACACAUGGAUUCACCUUAACCUAUUCUUCUGUUGUCAUUUGUCUCCAUAUAUUGACAGGCUGCCAGGCCAUCUCUACUGCUCCCCCAGGCUAAGACCAUCUCUUCCCUCACCAAGGCACAUGGGCUCCCUGACAGGGGGUGAAAGAAAGAUAUAGGUUAGUGAUGCAGGAGUAGCCUCCACAAAUCUUCCAAUAGCAACAGAAUCAGCACUGACCAAGGUGCUCCCUCCUGUCCAGCUCUUCCAGAGUCUCCCUCCUGUCCAGCACUUCCAGAGCCUCCCUCCUGUCCGGAGCCGCCAGUCAGUCAGGAGCUGCCGGAGCCGCCCGUCAGUCAGGAGCCGCCGGAGCCGCCCGUCAGUCAGGAGCCACCGGAGACGCCCUGCGGGGUCCACGUCCCGUGCCAGAUCCGCCACCGCGGACAGAUGCCCACCCAGAACCUCCCCUAUUAGUUCAGGUUUUGCGGCCAGAGUCCGCACCUUUGGGGACUGUCACGCCCUGACCCUAGAUUGCUUUGUAUGUUUCUAUUUUUCGUUUGGUCAGGGUGUGAUGUGGGUGGGUAUUCUAUGUUGUAUGUCUAAGUAUUGUGUUUCUAUGUUUAGGCUUGGUAUGGUUCCCAAUCAGAGGCAGCUGGUUAUCGUUGUCUCUGAUUGAGAACCAUACUUAGGCAGCCUGUUUUCCCACUAAGGGUGCGGGUAGUUGUUUUCUGUCUCUGUGUUUGCAACAGACAGAACUGUUUCGUGUUGGUCUAUUUUUGUUAUUUUGGUCAUAGUGUUCUGAUUUAAAAUAAAUAUACAUCAUGAACACGUACGACGCUGCACUUUGGUCCUCUUCACCUUCUUCAACCCACGACAGCCGUUACAGGCUGCCACCUCUGGUAUCUACUACGGAAGAUGCAUAAUUUCACAGUCAUAGUAGUGUUAUAAUUUCACCCAGGUUGAACUAAUAUACUAUUAUCAGAUUCCCCAAAUAUGGUUAGUUGGAUUCCCAGGUAUUCAUAGGAAAUGAGUGGGUGUCAUGGUCGGUCUCAAAGACUGAGAAAAUAGCCUUCAUUUUACAGGACCUCACUUUAAUGUUAUCUCUAUUUUUUGUUGUAGGACAGUCCAUGAGUUCUGAUAACUUACCAGAAGUGUCAGGAGAAGCCAGUACAGAGGUGGGUAAUGGCACAGCUUGUUUUCUACAUUCCCCAUGUGGGCAGCGUGGGAAGUACAGGGAAAACAUUCUGAGUUUACAGCCUAGGAGGUCACACACACUGGUUUCACCCGUACUGUAGACAGGGAAAAACAGAAGAAGUGUUAGCUCGUUGUUUCCUUGUAGUCUUUGUAUUUUUAAUUAAAGGUAAGCAAAAUAUUUUACUCCUUAGUGGGAAAUAGAUGUUCCUAUAUUUACCAUCUGUAAUAAUAUUUUGUUGAUUAGUACAGUAAUGUAAUGAAUGUGUUUUUGAAUAAAUAUUGUGUUGAUCAAUAAUGAGUAAUGUCAUUAAUUGAAUAAAUG
ensembl:lncRNA